rnacentral:rRNA from 1 species
GCCUACGGGGCGAGCAGUGAGGAAUAUUGGUCAAUGGGCGGAAGCCUGAACCAGCCAAGUCGCGUGAGGGAAUAAGGCCCUACGGGUCGUAAACCUCUUUUGCCGGGGAGCAAGGGCCGGGACGAGUCCCGGUCCGGAGAGUACCCGGAGAAAAAGCAUCGGCUAACUCCGUGCCAGCAGCCGCGGUAAUACGGAGGAUGCGAGCGUUAUCCGGAUUUAUUGGGGUUAAAGGGUGCGUAGGCGGGCUUUUAAGUCAGCGGUAAAAAUUCGGGGCUCAACCCCGUCCGGCCGUUGAAACUGGGGGG